AGUGAACGCUGGCGGUAGGCCUAACACAUGCAAGUCGAACGGCAGCACAGUAAGAGCUUGCUCUUACGGGUGGCGAGUGGCGGACGGGUGAGGAAUACAUCGGAAUCUACUUUUUCGUGGGGGAUAACGUAGGGAAACUUACGCUAAUACCGCAUACUACCUACGGUUGAAAGCAGGGGAUCUUCUGACCUUGCGCGAUUGAAUGAGCCGAUGUCGGAUUAGCUAGUUGGCGGGGUAAAGGCCCACCAAGGCGACGAUCCGUAGCUGGUCUGAGAGGAUGAUCAGCCACACUGGAACUGAGACACUGUCCAGACUCCUACGGGAGGCAGCAGUGGGGAAUAUUGGACAAUGGGCGCAAGCCUGAUCCAGCCAUACCGCGUGGGUGAAGAAGGCCUUCGGGUUGUAAAGCCCUUUUGUUGGGAAAGAAAAGCAGCAGGUUAAUACCCCGCUGUUCUGACGGUACCCAAAGAAUAAGCACCGGCUAACUUCGUG
rnacentral:rRNA from 1 species